CCUACGGGAGGCAGCAGUGAGGAAUAUUGGUCAAUGGGCGCGAGCCUGAACCAGCCAAGUAGCGUGAAGGAUGACUGCCCUACGGGUUGUAAACUUCUUUUAUAAAGGAAUAAAGUGAGGCACGUGUGCCUUUUUGUAUGUACUUGAUGAAUAAGGAUCGGCUAACUCCGUGCCAGCAGCCGCGGUAAUACGGAGGAUCCGAGCGUUAUCCGGAUUUAUUGGGUUUAAAGGGAGCGUAGAUGGGUUGUUAAGUCAGUGGUGAAAGUUUGCGGCUCAACCCUAAAAUUGCAAUUGAUACUGGCAGCCUUGAGUACAGUUGAGGUAGGCGGAAUUCGUAGUGUAGCGGUGAAAUGCUUAGAUAUCGCGCAGAACUCCGAUUGCGAAGGCAGCAUACUAACCUGCCACUGACAUUGAUGCUCGAAAGUGUGGGUAUCAAACAGGAUUAGAUACCCGGGUAGUC
rnacentral:rRNA from 1 species